AGAACGAACGCUGGCGGCAUGCCUAACACAUGCAAGUCGAACGAGACCUUCGGGUCUAGUGGCGCACGGGUGCGUAACGCGUGGGAAUCUGCCCUUGGGUUCGGAAUAACAGUUGGAAACGACUGCUAAUACCGGAUGAUGACGAAAGUCCAAAGAUUUAUCGCCAAGGGAUGAGCCCGCGUAGGAUUAGCUAGUUGGUGAGGUAAAGGCUCACCAAGGCAACGAUCCUUAGCUGGUCUGAGAGGAUGAUCAGCCACACUGGGACUGAGACACAGCCCAGACUCCUACGGGAGCAGCAGUAGGGAAUAGUGGACAAUGGGACAAAGGCCUAGAUCCAGCAAUGACCGCGUGAGUGAUGAAGGCCGUUAGGGUUAGUAAAGCUUACUUUACCGAG
rnacentral:rRNA from 1 species